UACGUAGGCAGCGAGCGUUGUUCGGAGUUACUGGGCGUAAAGAGUGCGUAGGCGGUUUUCUAAGUUUGGUGUGAAAUCUCCCGGCUCAACUGGGAGGGUGCGCCGAAGACUGGAAGGCUUGAGUAUGGGAGAGGUAAGCGGAAUUCCUGGUGUAGCGGUGAAAUGCGCAGAUAUCAGGAGGAACACCGGUGGCGAAGGCGGUGGUCUGGGCCGGUACUGACGCUGAGGAGCGAAAGCGUGGGGAGCGAACAGG
rnacentral:rRNA from 1 species